rnacentral:tRNA from 1 species
GCAGUGGUGGUUCAGUGGUUGAACUCUCACUCUCAGUGAGGGAAAUGUGGGUUCAAUUCCUAGCCAAUGCA